rnacentral:rRNA from 1 species
UACAGAGGGUGCAAGCGUUAAUCGGAAUUACUGGGCGUAAAGCGUGCGCAGAUGGUUGCGUAAGUCAGAUGUGAAAGCCCCGGGCUUAACCUGGGAAUGGCAUUUGGGGACUGCAAGGCUUGAGUGCGGCAGAGGAGACUGGAAUUCCUGGUGUAGCAGUGAAAUGCGUAGAUAUCAGGAGGAAUACCGAUGGCGAAGGCAGGUCUCUGGGCUGACACUGACGCUCAUGCACGAAGGCGUGGGGAGCAAACAGG